rnacentral:tRNA from 1 species
AUAUAGCUCAAUGGUAGAACACUUGCCUAACAUGCAUGAGACUCUGGGUUUGAUCCCCAGCAU